UGGCAGGUGUAGGCCUCCCCUCUAUAAGAUGAGGUGGAGGAGGUCCCAGAGUCACCCAUCUGUAGACCCCACCGUUACCACUAACCACAUUUUCCAAACCUGCAAGUUUUAGAACUUGUCAGGCCCAGAGCAAGGGCCGAGUGAAAUAAUCCCCCAAUCACUACCAGUCUCCUGGACCGCCACAUGAGAGCCCAAGUCAGCUACCAAAUCUGACAUGGGUUCUCACCUCCACAAAAUUUCAUUAUUGAAUCUUAGGAAAAGUUGAUUAUGGUGUGCGUAGGAAAGACUCAACCCCACACCCUUGUAUAUUAUUCAAGAAAACCUGAUUUCCAGUUUGUGACAAAUUAGUUCCAUUUGUUCUGUAUAAAGACACUUCACUUGCCUUAAUGUUCUCAUGUAAUAUAGCUUUACCCCAAUUUUCUGUAACAAAGUUUUUGGCCACUAAAUUUCUCUUUUUCUGUUCUGGUCUAUUAUUGCACCCGCAUUCAAGGGGGCAACAUGCCAGUAUCGCACUGUAGCAUUAAAGACCAUAUUAUAAUAACCUUUUUAAAUAAAGCCUGGUAACGUAGGGUAGACCAUUUUUACAUUUUCAAUUAAACCAUUCCCUGUCAAUUUUAAAUCUGUCAAAUCAUUAGCUCCACAGAGAAUAAUAAUAAAAUGAGGAGAUGGUAAAAAACAAAUAUUCUUUUUGCAUCCAUUAGGGAGUCCAAAUCUUAAAGAGACUAUAGAGACAAUAACAAGUGGAAACAAGGAACUAUCGUUAUAAACUCGGAACAGUAACUUAUCAAGUCCAAUUUGGAGAUUUAGUAUGGAAGAGACAUGUUGAUCAGAUUCGUGAAUUCGUACCGCAGGAAAAUAAAAACAUACCAAACAUACUUGAAAUUACCAUAUCUGAUAUUGACACUGAAUUCAUAACAAUACCAACAUGUAAUUCAAUUGCGAUACCGAAAACUCUGAAAAUAACAAUGAAUCCGAACAAACUAAAAUAACUAAAAAUAAAACAGUUGAAAAUGCUAAUGAUACUAUCGUUAUGCACCGCACAGAAAUAGUAAGAAAGGCACCAGAGAGACUUAUUAGAAACAUAUGACUGUAAAUAUUUGUGGUUAAGUUAGUGUAGUGAUAUCACUGUAGGUUUAGGAUUUCAUAAUUGAACAUUAAAAAUAUAGACAGUAAAACUUGUAGUUAUUU
rnacentral:lncRNA from 1 species